rnacentral:rRNA from 1 species
UACGUAGGGUCCGAGCGUUGUCCGGAAUUACUGGGCGUAAAGAGCUCGUAGGUGGUUUGUCGCGUUGUUCGUGAAAACUCACAGCUUAACUGUGGGCGUGCGGGCGAUACGGGCAGACUGGAGUACUGCAGGGGAGACUGGAAUUCCUGGUGUAGCGGUGGAAUGCAUAGAGAUCCGGAAGAACACCGGUGGCGAAGGCGGCCUGCUGGGCAGUGCUGACACUGAGGCGCGACAGCGUGGGGAG